rnacentral:lncRNA from 1 species
CGUCGGUUGAUGUAAGAUUGUGGAUCCUCUAACUUAUGAGAUUAAUAACUUAGAUCCCUUUUUCUCCUUUUUUGUUCUUUUUUUUUAUUUUGGGACGCAAUCUUUGAAAAUUUUGAUGACUUUUUUUUAAUUUUUUUUGUUAUAGCUUCAACUGUUCCUUGCUAAUAGUCGUCAAUAUUGAGCUGACCUAGAUUAACAUGCAUACUAGGUUAUUGCAUCAAGCUAUUAACUUUGAAGGGAUA